UACGAAGGGGGCUAGCGUUGCUCGGAAUUACUGGGCGUAAAGCGCACGUAGGCGGCUUGUUAAGUCGGGGGGUGAAAUCCUGGAGCUCAACUCCAGAACUGCCUUCGAUACUGCCGGACUGGAGUACUGGAGAGGAGAUCGGAAUUUACGGUGUAGCAGUGAAAUGCGUAGAUAUCGUAAGGAAGACCAGUGGCGAAGGCGGAUCUCUGGACAGUUACUGACACUGAGGCACGAAGGCCAGGGGAGCAAACGGG
rnacentral:rRNA from 1 species